UGCCAGACUCCUACGGGAGGCAGCAGUGGGGAAUAUUGCACAAUGGGGGAAACCCUGAUGCAGCAACGCCGCGUGAGUGAAGAAGUAUUUCGGUAUGUAAAGCUCUAUCAGCAGGGAAGAAAAUGACGGUACCUGAGUAAGAAGCCCCGGCUAACUACGUGCCAGCAGCCGCGGUAAUACGUAGGGGGCAAGCGUUAUCCGGAUUUACUGGGUGUAAAGGGAGCGUAGACGGCGAUACAAGUCUGAAGUGAAAGCCCGGGGCUCAACCCCGGGACUGCUUUGGAAACUGUGUUGCUGGAGUGCUGGAGAGGCAAGCGGAAUUCCUAGUGUAGCGGUGAAAUGCGUAGAUAUUAGGAGGAACACCAGUGGCGAAGGCGGCUUACUGGACUGUAACUGACGUUGAGGCUCGAAAGCGUGGGGAGCAAACAGGAUUAGAUACCCGGGUAAC
rnacentral:rRNA from 1 species